rnacentral:rRNA from 1 species
AGACGGAGGGGGCUAGCGUUGUUCGGAAUUACUGGGCGUAAAGCGCGCGUAGGCGGAUUGAUCAGUCAGAGGUGAAAUCCCAGGGCUCAACCCUGGAACUGCCUUUGAUACUGUCAAUCUUGAGUUCGAGAGAGGUGAGUGGAAUUCCGAGUGUAGAGGUGAAAUUCGUAGAUAUUCGGAGGAACACCAGUGGCGAAGGCGGCUCACUGGCUCGAUACUGACGCUGAGGUGCGAAAGCGUGGGGAGCAAACAGGAUUAGAUACCCCGGUAGUCC